rnacentral:rRNA from 1 species
GAUGAACGCUGGCGGCGUGCCUAAUACAUGCAAGUCGAGCGAACGGACGAGAAGCUUGCUUCUCUGCUGUUAGCGGCUGACGGGUGAGUAACACGUGGAUAACCUACCUAUAAGACUGGGAUAACUUCGGGAAACCGUAGCUAAUACCGGAUAAUAUUUUGAACCGCAUGGUUCAAAAGUUAAAGACGGUCUUGCUGUCACUUAUAGAUGGAUCCGCGCUGCAUUAGCUAGUUGGUAAGGUAACGGCUUACCAAGGCAACGAUGCAUAGCUGACCUGAGAGGGUGAUCGGCCACACUGGAACUGAGACACGGUCCAGACUCCUACGGGAGGCAGCAGUAGGGAAUAUUCGGCAAUGGGCGAAAGCCUGACGGAGCCAUGCCGCGUGAGUGAUGAAGGUCUUCGGGUCGUAAAACUCUGUUAUUAGGGAAGAACAUAUGUGUAAGUAACUGUGCACAUCUUGACGGUACCUAAUCAGAAAGCAACGGCUAACUACGUG